rnacentral:rRNA from 1 species
AACACAUGCAAGUCGAGCGAGAACCAGUCCUUCGGGACUGGGGACAGCGGCGAACGGGUGAGUAACACGUGAGUAAUCCACCCUCGGUACCGGAAUAGCCCGGGGAAACUCGGAUUAAUGCCGGAUGGCCCAUUCACCUCUCGAGGUGACUGGAAAAGAUAGCUUCGGCCUUCGACCGGGGACGAGCUCGCGGCGGAUUAGCUUGUUGGCGGGGUAAUGGCCCACCAAGGCGACGAUCCGUAGCUGGUCUGAGAGGACGAUCAGCCACACUGGGACUGAGACACGGCCCAGACUCCUACGGGAGGCAGCAGUGGGGAAUCUUGCGCAAUGGGCGAAAGCCUGACGCAGCGACGCCGCGUGAGGGAAGAAGGCCUUCGGGUUGUAAACCUCUUUCAGGAGGGACGAAGCCACUCGGGUUAAUAGCCCAGAGGGUGACGGUACCUCCAGAAGAAGCCCCGGCUAACUACGU